UAGGGAAUCUUCCGCAAUGGGCGAAAGCUUGACGGAGCAACGCCGCGUGAGUGAUGAAGGUCUUCGGAUCGUAAAACUCUGUUAUUAGGGAAGAACAAAUGUGUAAGUAACUAUGCACGUCUUGACGGUACCUAAUCAGAAAGCCACGGCUAACUACGUGCCAGCAGCCGCGGUAAUACGUAGGUGGCAAGCGUUAUCCGGAAUUAUUGGGCGUAAAGCGCGCGUAGGCGGUUUUUUAAGUCUGAUGUGAAAGCCCACGGCUCAACCGUGGAGGGUCAUUGGAAACUGGAAAACUUGAGUGCAGAAGAGGAAAGUGGAAUUCCAUGUGUAGCGGUGAAAUGCGCAGAGAUAUGGAGGAACACCAGUGGCAAAGGCGACUUUCUGGUCUGUAACUGACGCUGAUGUGCGAAGGCGUGGGGAUCAAACAGG
rnacentral:rRNA from 1 species